UCCUAGAACUCGCCAACAAGAUGAUUGAGCUGCUGACUGGAGAGGUUCCUAUAAGGUGUCAGGAUGUCACCGUCUAUUUCUCCAUGGAGGAGUGGGAGUAUUUAGAAGAACACAAAGAUCUGUACAAGGACGCCAUGAUGGAGGAUCUCCGGCCCCUCAUCCCAACAGAUAAGGAAGAGAUAAGAACACCAGAGAGAUGUCCC